rnacentral:tRNA from 1 species
GCCGGUAUAGCUCAGUUGGCUAGAGCAACGCUUUUGUAAAGCGUAGGUCGUGGGUUCAAAUCCCUCUACCGGCUCCA